rnacentral:rRNA from 1 species
UACAGAGGUCUCAAGCGUUGUUCGGAUUCAUUGGGCGUAAAGGGUGCGUAGGUGGCAGGGUAAGUCGGAUGUGAAAUCCCGGGGCUCAACCUCGGAACUGCAUUCGAUACUGCUUUGCUGGAGUACUGGAGAGGAGAUUGGAAUUUACGGUGUAGCAGUGAAAUGCGUAGAUAUCGUAAGGAAGACCAGUGGCGGAAGGCGGAUCUCUGGACAGUUACUGACACUGAGGCACGAAGGCCAGGGGAGCAAACCGGG